rnacentral:tRNA from 1 species
GACCUUGUGGCGCAACGGGAGCGUGUCUGACUCUAGCUCAGAAGGCUGUGUUAAAAUCAUGUUGAGGUCA